rnacentral:rRNA from 1 species
GGCGUAAAGGAUGCGUAGAUGGUGGAAUAAGUUAUUGGUCGAGGUCAAGCUCAACUUGGCGGAAGCUGAUAAUACUGUUCUACUUGAGGACAGGAGAGGUUGGCGGAAUUCUGUGUGGAGCGGUGAAAUGCGUUGAUCUACAGAGGAACACCAAAAAGGGCGAAGGCAGCCAACUAUUCUGAUCCUGACAUUGAGGCAUGAAAGCGUGGGGAGCAAACCGGAUUAGAUACCCGGGUAGUCCACGCCCUAAACGAUGAGCAUUAGACAUUAGGUGUUAUGCUUAGUGUCGCAGCUAACGCUUUAAAUGCUCCGCCUGGGUACUACGGUCGCAAGGCUAAAACUCAAAGGAAUUGACGGGGACUCGCACAAGCAGUGGAGCAUGUGGUUUAAUCCGAUACGACGCGUAGAACCUUACCAAGGCUUGACAUGUUGGGCAAAGCUAGGGAAACCUAGUGGAGGUUAUCCUAACACAGGUGCUGCAUGGCCGUCGUCAGUUCGUGCCGUGAGGUGUAUGGUUAAGUCCUAUAACGAACGUAACCCUUAGGUUUAGUUGCCAGCAUUCAGUUGGGGACUCUAGACCGACUGCCCGAGUAAUCGGGAGAAAGGAAAGGAUGACGUCUGGUCGUCAUGGCCCUUAUGCCUUGGGCGACACACGUGCUACAAUGGUUAAUACAAAGGGACGCCAACCCGCGAGGGGGAGCAAAUCUCAAAAAAUUAGCCUCAGUUCGGAUUGGAGGCUGCAACUCGCCUCCAUGAAGUUGGAAUUGCUAGUAAUCGCAAAUCAGCCAUGUUGCGGUGAAUACGUUCUCGAGUCUUGUACACACCGCCCGUCAAAUCACGAAAGUCGGUAAUGCCUGAAACCAACUAGUUAACCCGCAAGGGAUACGGUUGACAAGGGUAGGAUUGGCGAUUGGGGUUAAGUCGUAACAA